GACGAACGCUGGCGGCGUGCUUAACACAUGCAAGUCGAACGGAAAGGCCCUGCUUUUGUGGGUUGCUCGAUUGGCGCACGGGUGAGUAACACGUGAGUAACCUGCCCUUGUCUUUGGGAUAACUUCAGGAAACUCGGUCUCAUACCGGAUAGGAUCUCCUGCUCCGCGUUGUUGGUUGGAAAGUUUCGGCGGUUGUGGAUGGACUCGCUGCUUAUCCGCUUGUUGGUGUGGUAGUGACUUACCAAGGCUUUGACGGGUAGCCUGCCUGAGAGGGGGACCGGCGACAUGGGGACUGAGAUACGGCCCAGACUGCUACGGGAGGCAGCGGUGGGGAAUAUGGCACAAUGGGCGGAAGCGUGAGGCAGCAACGCCGCGUUCGGGAUGACGGGCUUCGGGUGGUAAACAGAUUUGGCCUGUGACGAAGCGUGAGUGACGGUAAUGGGUAAAGAAGCAACGGCUAACUACGUG
rnacentral:rRNA from 1 species